GGAGUUAUAGUGAUAAGAUCAUUCAUACAAGGCAUCAAACAUGGUUGCAUCUUGAGCUCAAAUUUGUUGAACUCAAUCUUCCUUCCGUUGUCAAUCGACGGUGAACGAUACUCGAGCUUCACAAUCCUUCGAUUGUCUCCGUAAGGUAGGAGAUUGUGGAUUUCGUAUUUAAUAUCUUCGAGGGAGGUGAAGUUGUUGAGCUUAAAUGUUCGCUCUGAUGUAGAGUUGAAG
rnacentral:lncRNA from 1 species